AGAGUUUGAUCAUGGCUCAGGAUGAGCGCUAGCUACAGGCUUAACACAUGCAAGUCGAGGGGCAGCAUGAUUGAAGCUUGCUUCAAUUGAUGGCGACCGGCGCACGGGUGAGUAACGCGUAUCCAACCUUCCGUACACUCAGGGAUAGCCUUUCGAAAGAAAGAUUAAUACCUGAUGGUAUGAUGAGAUUGCAUGAUAGCAUCAUUAAAGAUUUAUCGGUGUACGAUGGGGAUGCGUUCCAUUAGGUAGUAGGCGGGGUAAUGGCCCACCUAGCCGACGAUGGAUAGGGGUUCUGAGAGGAAGGUCCCCCANAUUGGAACUGAGACACGGUACCAAACUCCUACGGGAGGCA
rnacentral:rRNA from 1 species